rnacentral:rRNA from 2 species
AGCCCCCGGGGCAUAGAAAUCGGGGGUGUGACCUGCCCUGUGAGAAAACUUUAACGGCUGCAGUAUCCUGACUGUACUAAGGUAGCAUAAUCACUUGGCCUUUAAUUGGGGUCUGGAAUGAAGGGUUUUACGGGAAGCAACUGUCUCUUAACUGUAUAUAUAAUUUAACUUAGGGGUGAAGAGGCCCCUAUAGUUCAGGAGGACGAGAAGACCCCAGAGAGCUUUAAGGCUCAGGACAGACCUGUCUAUGGUUCUUUUUGAUUGGGGCGAUCAAGGGACAACUAAAACUCCUUUAUUAUUAUAAUCUAAGUAAGAUGAUCCACUAUUAGUGAUCUAAUAAUAAAUAAGCUACCUUGGGGAUAACAGCAUAAUGUUAAUUAAGAGAUCCUAUCGAAAUUGGCGCUUAUGACCUCGAUGUUGGACUAGGGUGACUUUUAGAGAUGCAGAAGUCCUUGUGAGUUGGCCUGUUCGGCCAUUAAACCCCUACAU